rnacentral:rRNA from 1 species
GACGAACGCUGGCGGCGUGCUUAACACAUGCAAGUCGAACGAUGAAGCUGGAGCUUGCUCCGGUGGAUUAGUGGCGAACGGGUGAGUAACACGUGAGCAAUCUGCCCUUCACUCUGGGAUAACUGCGGGAAACUGUAGCUAAUACCGGAUACGAGACCUUGGGGCAUCCCAGGGUCUGGAAAGAAUUUCGGUGAAGGAUGAGCUCGCGGCCUAUCAGCUAGUUGGGGAGGUAAUGGCUCACCAAGGCGACGACGGGUAGCCGGCCUGAGAGGGUGACCGGCCACACUGGGACUGAGACACGGCCCAGACUCCUACGGGAGGCAGCAGUGGGGAAUAUUGCACAAUGGGCGAAAGCCUGAUGCAGCAACGCCGCGUGAGGGAUGAAGGCCUUUGGGUUGUAAACCUCUUUUAGUAGGGAAGAAGCGCAAGUGACGGUACCUACAGAAAAAGCACCGGCUAACUACGUGCCAGCCGCCGCGGUAA